rnacentral:lncRNA from 1 species
CAGUCAACAUAGUACCAGCAAAAUUAGCAGCACACAUGGGAGGAGGAGCUUGAUCACUGGAAUCCCCUAACUUGGUCUGUUGCAACAAGCUCAUCAAUUAAUCAUAGUGAUGUCUGCUCAACCCUGGUAUCACAGAGCUGUGACCAUCUAUGUGUGUAACAUUGUGAUGGCUGGCAGGAGGAUCACCAAGAGGAACAGACAAAUUAGGAUUCCCAUGAUUAACAGACACACAUUCCUCGCCAGUGGAGACAUGAGCAGCUGCAGAUUUCCUUCCCUUGUUGUAAUUUAUGUUUUGAGGAAACN